GCCGCGUUGGCUCAAUGGUAGAGCGUCGCCCUCCUACAACGUGAUUGCUUGGCAAGGCGAAGGCUGUGGGUUCGAUCCCCAUGCGUGGUA
rnacentral:tRNA from 1 species